CAGUAGCCACGGUAAUACGGAGGGAGCUAGCGUUGUUCGGAAUUACUGGGCGUAAAGCGCACGUAGGCGGUUAUUCAAGUCAGAGGUGAAAGCCCGGGGCUCAUCCCCGGAACUGCCUUUGAAACUAGAUGACUGGAAUCUUGGAGAGGUCAGUGGAAUUCCGAGUGUAGAGGUGAAAUUCGUAGAUAUUCGGAAGAACACCAGUGGCGAAGGCGAUUGACUGGACAAGUAUUGACGCUGAGAUGCGAAAGCGUGGGGAGCAAACAGGAUUAGAUACCCGUGUAGUCCCUGUCUCUUAUAU
rnacentral:rRNA from 1 species